GCCGGGCGUGGUGAUGCACACCUGUAAUCCCAGCUACUUAGGAGGCUGAGGCAGGAGAAUUGUUUGAACCCAGGAGGCAGAGGUUGCAGUGAGCCAAGAUUGUGCCACUGCAUUCCAUCCUGGGUGACAGAGCAAAACUCCGUCUCAA
rnacentral:SRP_RNA from 1 species